AACGAACGCUGGCGGCAGGCCUAACACAUGCAAGUCGAGCGCACCUUCGGGUGAGCGGCGGACGGGUUAGUAACGCGUGGGAACGUACCCUUCUCUACGGAAUAGCCUCGGGAAACUGAGAGUAAUACCGUAUACGCCCUUUGGGGGAAAGAUUUAUCGGAGAAGGAUCGGCCCGCGUUGGAUUAGGUAGUUGGUGGGGUAAUGGCCUACCAAGCCUACGAUCCAUAGCUGGUUUGAGAGGAUGAUCAGCAACACUGGGACUGAGACACGGCCCAGACUCCUACGGGAGGCAGCAGUGGGGAAUCUUAGACAAUGGGGGAAACCCUGAUCUAGCCAUGCCGCGUGAGUGAUGAAGGCCUUAGGGUCGUAAAGCUCUUUCGCUGGGGAAGNUAAUGACUGUACCCAGUAAGAACCCCGGNUAACUCCGUG
rnacentral:rRNA from 1 species